CUUUCAGGCUGGGGAAAGUCCAGUUCUUGGUGGGUCCAGACCUCAUUGGUGCUCCACAGAUGUCAGCACCUUAAAGCAUACAUUUCACAGGGCGGCCGGCUGUGAGAGCAGAGAACUGGUUCCAGCUGAUCCUCCUCUUAUCAAAACAGUCGAAUAUAAAAGGCCACUGGGGUCACAGAGCUCUGACGGAGGGCAGUGGGUCACAGAACACUGCCCCACUUUUGCUGUGGACGACACAGAGAGACACAGAGACGCAGGGACACAGAGAGCAGGACUGUCUGGAGCGCUGCAGUACCAGGAAGCUCCACUCUCUCUUAUAGACCAUUCAAUUUUACAACACAAAAAGACAGAUGCUGUUAAAACAUGACGUCUAAAUUUAUAUUACAGCUGUAUUGAUUAACUGGUUAACUGAUUAAAGACCGUAUCAAUUUA